UUGCUGAGUCUGCGGUACUUUCGUAUAUUCAUUGCUCUUUGGAACAUUUUCAUCAUGUUUUGCAUGAUCUUGUUAUUUGGUUCAUAAUUGAUGGCUGUUACAGUGAGGAUCACUACAGACACUAAAGAUCUAAUUGCAGCAUUGGGUGGAUUUCCUGCAACAGGUUUUUUUAGUGUGAGAUGUCUUACAUAUAGUCUCAUCCAACGUCUUACAAAACAUCUGUAUAUUUUGUACAGAAGUGUGUGAUUAAUAUUGGUUUUACUUUCUGGGAAAUGGGGUC